rnacentral:rRNA from 1 species
ACGACGUGGGGUGAAUGAUGCAGGUCAAUUGGAGUCAACGCCAGAAAUCUUACCCUGAGGGCAAGCAGAAUGAAGGUCAAGCUGAAGACUUUAACAGACAAGCUGGGAGGUGGUGCAUGGCCGUCGCCAGCUCGUGCCGUGAGAUGUCCUGUUAAGUCAGGUAACGAGCGAGAUCCCUGCCUCUAGUUGCCACCAUUACUCUCAGGAGUAGUGGGGCGAAUUAGCGGGACCGCCGCAGUUAAUGCGGAGGAAGGAAGGGGCCACGGCAGGUCAGUAUGCCCCGAAACUCUGGGGCCACACGCGGGCUGCAAUGGUAGCGACAAUUGGUUUCGAAUCCGAAAGGAUGAGGUAAUCCACAAACGCUACCACAGUUAUGACUGAGGGCUGCAACUCGCCCUCACGAAUAUGGAAUCCCUAGUAACUGCGUGUCAUUAUCGCGCGGUGAAUACGUCCCUGCUCCUUGCACACACCGCCCGUCGUUUCAUUGAAGUGAGCUUUUAGCGAGGUGACGUCUGAUUGGCGUUAUCGAACUUGAGGUUCGUGACAAGGGAAAAGUCGUAACAAGGUGACCGUAGGGGAACCUGCGGUCG